GUAGAUAAUAUUCUUGGCAAAAUUUCUGCAACUUGAUAGUUGUCCGUAAGUAAAACUUUCUAUCUUGUUAAAGUCCUCAUAAAGCGGAUGAGUGGCUUUCUCAGUUUUGGGAGAGCAGUGAUCUGUCCCCACGGUAUCGGUGUGUAGCUACCUCUAUUCAACUGACUGAAGUGGUUAUUUAGAUGAUUCUUUGCACCUCAUGGCUCUCCAAGGUGACAGGACAUCACCACAUUGACCAGAAGCGACUUCUCAGCUGUGAAUUGUUUCGCACUUGAAGUUCUUCCUCACAGACACCCUGUUUGAGUGCUCAGUGAUCCAGGCACUUGACCCUACAGCCAAGAGAGAGGGAAGACUACUUACUGGUCUAGCUGGCAGCAGACCCUGGCCUCGUCCACAUGAUGCUUUUAGGUGCAUGCAGAAUGCAAGAGUUGUGGGGUCAGGAAGGCUUCCACUCAGAUUUCAGAAGGUCUGGGAGGCCAGGCAGGGUGCCCGUGAGAAGGCAGACUGUGAAGUUGUGAGUGUGAAAAGCCAAAGGUGCAGUGGAGACCCCAGAAGUUUGGGGAAGCCAGGAGUGUGGUUCAUCUGAGGAAAGCUGCAAGGAGGGAGCAGAACCUGCCCAAAAGAGAAGCUGUGGGAGCUACAAACAUCUACAGGCUGUAGGGGCAGAGUCACCCAAGUCCUUUGGAGUUCACAUCUUGCCACAGAUUGCCUUGGAUGCCGCACUGGGAACUACAGGAUUUAAUAUUUGCCCUGCUGGAUUUUGGACUUGCUUUGGUCCAGUUUCUUUGUAUUCCCAUUUGUACCUUUUGGAAUGUUAAUGUUUAUAUUGUGCCAUUGAAUGUCGGAAGUGUUUGACUUUCUUUUCAUUUGUACAAGGGCUUGCAGCUAAGAGUUUGCCUUAAAUUUCAGAGAAGACUUUAGACUUGGACUUUUCAGCAGUGCUGAAAUUAUUAGGAUUUAGGCAACUCUCGGAGAUGGACUAAAUGCCUUUUGCAUAAAGGGAUGUGCAUGAGUCUUUUCGGGGCCAGGGGCGGACUAUUACAGCUUAGGGUUAGAUGUCCCCCCAAAGCCUCAGGCUUUUUCAGAGGUGGGUGAAUCUAAAGCGUGUGAUUGACUCAUGGUGGGGCCACCCUGCGGGCACUAGGGUUAAGGGCGUGAGUGCUGCCCACCCUAAGUAGUCUGAAUAACAUAAAAGGGGCAGAAAGACGCUGUUGAGGUCCCUUGUUGCUUUUGCUACUACCGUGUGGGCGCCAGGAACUGCUUCUCCUCUGUGACGCCCCUCCGCCAUGUGCCACUCUGCCUUGGAGCCAGCCAACUAUGGACUGAAACCUCUAUGAACUAUAAGCCAAUAAACCUUUCCCCCUCUAACUGUGGGUAUUGGGUAUUUUGUCUCAGCAAUGAGAAAAAAGUAACUAAGAAAUCCCUUAUCUCAUUUUUAUGUCUAGUACAGUGUUUGGCAUGUAUUUAGUAAAUAAUUCUUGAAUGAUGACCAAGUUACCUUUAUACUCAAAGCCAACUGAGGGAAAUUUUAUAGAAUAACAACAAAAAGAAAAGUGAUCUUUUCACAUUGCCUAAUAUAUUUAUGGAACCAAUUUUCAUGAAAGAUAGCAUAGGCCAAACAUACAGGAGUCCAAAGUAUUUAGAGAAAUUAAAAGAUAAUAGGCUUAUACAUUCAAAUAAAUUGUUUGGUAUAGCCCAAAUCCCUGAAAUAAACAUCAGGGAAAACAAGAACCACAUUGUCUCACUACAUUCCUAAUAGAGCUAUAAUCAGAGAAUGAAUAUUGAACUACAGGCAUAUGUACUUUUCUAAAAAUACAGUGCAGCAACAAAACUUUCCUAACCUCCUUAAAAAAAUAUCUUCGUAGAUGAGAUCAAGUUAUAUGUUCUAUAAAGCUAAAUUCUGGCAAUUAAGUUUAAAUCAAUUAACCUCAGACUCAUUGGAAAAAGAAUUUAAAAGGGUUGCUAGAAAGUAAAGCUAUUUAUUUGGUCCAGGUUUCUUUACCUCUGAAAGAACUUCAUGCUUGUUGACACAGAAGGUUUUCAACUUGGGUUCUAGUUCUGGUUACAGCCCUCUAGAUGCUAGGUCCUUAUCAAUAAAGUGAAAGAGUCUGAAGGUCCUUUCUAAUUCUGGAAUUCCAGUGAUUUAUGUUCUUGUUUAAAUUUGCAAUGUUAAACAAACUGAAUUAACUAACCCUAGGUAGCUUCUUUUAAAAACACUAACAGUGCUUAAAGGCUAGACUUAUGCCCACCAGGGAUUUAAAGCCAUAUGUAUCUCCAUGAGUUGAUUAACUGUUAAAAUUCAAUUUGCCUUUCAAAAAUGUGAUUGUCUUUCUUAAUAUGAAUGAUAUCAUAGCCAGCCAUUCUCUAUCCCUUGUUAUUUUGUCUAUAUAAUAUAUGUGUGUCCAAACCAGGUACCAAUUUAAAUGGGGAAAAAAAUACCACUAAUUAUAUUGGUUUGAAAUCCUGUGAAAAAAAAAAAUU
ensembl:lncRNA